AUUGAUGCCGCAGUGCUACUUCUUUAUAUAGGCCUUUUUAAUAUACCAAAAAUGUUUUGCGCUUGUCAGGGGGUACUUGGCAGAAAAAAAAUUUAAAAUGAAAGAAAAAAGUUUGAGAAACCACAGGACUAAUCGUCCCCGCCACGAUUAGUGCAGUGAGCAGAGAUGUUUGCGAUCACUAUGAUCAGAAAUUUUUUGUGACAUAGGCUUUGGGAAAAUGUUUAAUUUUGUGCCCCCACGACAUAAUUUCAUUCAAUUUGCAUUGUUAUCAGAUGACAUGCACCAUUUAAUAAAAAUCGAAAACUGAAUUUGUAAAAGUAAAAUCUUUAGCAUUCUGCUCAGACAGUUUGGUUUUAGAGUAUUUAAUGGUUAUUUAUUUAAGUCAAAUGAAAUUCAUGCAGCUGCAGCAAGUGAGCCUGGAGCCUGCCAAAUUCACCUCAGUGAAUUUCACUUGUUAUGCAGAAGCUUUGAAGGAACUGGAAUCCAUCACAAAGGAAAACAAGGAGAGCAGCUUGAUUACGAGCAUCAAACCAGGGAAGAAACUAGAGCGUCAUACUGUGUCAGCAGCUCCUAUAGCGUUUUUGUACAAACUAUGCUGUCAGGACUGUAAUAUGAUCUUUGAGACGACAGCUCAGUAUUUCAAACACAUCUCACAGGGAGAACACAAAGAGGUAUCUCAACAUUUUCAUAUCUUCCUACAGAAAAAAGGAGUUCUGAUUAUUGAUGAUAUGUUGCAAACUCUGACCUUACAUAAGAUCUGUUCCUAA
rnacentral:lncRNA from 15 species